rnacentral:rRNA from 1 species
UACGGAGGAUGCAAGCGUUAUCCGGAAUUAUUGGGCGUAAAGAGCUCGUAGGCGGUUUGUCGCGUCUGCCGUGAAAGUCCGGGGCUCAACUCCGGAUCUGCGGUGGGUACGGGCAGACUAGAGUGAUGUAGGGGAGACUGGAAUUCCUGGUGUAGCGGUGAAAUGCGCAGAUAUCAGGAGGAACACCGGUGGCGAAGGCGGUUCUCUGGGCAUUACCUGACGCUGAGGAGCGAAAGUGUGGGGAGCGAACAGG